GAUGAAGAACGUAGCGAAAUGCGAUAAGUAAUGUGAAUUGCAGAAUUCAGUGAAUCAUCGAAUCUUUGAACGCACAUUGCGCCCCCCAGUAUUCUGGCGGGCAUGCCUGUUCGAGCGUCAUUUCAACCAUCAAGCCCUGCUUGUGUUGGGGUCCUGCGGCUGCCCGCAGGCCCUGAAAACCAGUGGCGGGCUCGCUAGUCACACCGAGCGCAGUAGCACAUCUCGCUCAGGGCGUGCGGCGGGCUCCAGCCGUUAAAGCACCCACCUUUCGCAAGGUUGACCUCGGAUCAGGUAGGAAUACCCGCUGAACUUAAGCAUAUCAAAUAAGCGGAGGA
rnacentral:misc_RNA from 1 species